rnacentral:rRNA from 1 species
UACGGGAGGGGCAAGCGUUGUUCGGAAUUACUGGGCGUAAAGGGCUCGUAGGCGGCCAACUAAGUCCGACGUGAAAUCCCCAGGCUUAACCUGGGAACUGCGUCGGAUACUGGAUGGCUUGAAUCCGGGAGAGGGAUGCGGAAUUCCAGGUGUAGCGGUGAAAUGCGUAGAUAUCUGGAGGAACACCGGUGGCGAAGGCGGCAUCCUGGACCGGCAUUGACGCUGAGGAGCGAAAGCCAGGGGAGCAAACGGG